rnacentral:rRNA from 1 species
UGGGGAAUCUUGCGCAAUGCGCGAAAGCGUGACGCAGCAACGCCGCGUGAGGGAAGACGGCCUUCGGUUGUAAACCUCUUUCAGGAGGGACGCGGUACCUCCAGAAGAAGCUCCGGCUAACUACGUGCCAGCAGCCGCGGUAAUACGUAGGGAGCAAGCGUUGUCCGGAAUCAUUGGGCGUAAAGAGCGCGUAGGCGGCCGUGUAAGUCCGUUCUGAAAGUCGGAGGCUCAACCUCCGAAAGCGGAUGGAUACUGCACGGCUAGAGUCCGGAAGAGGCGAGUGGAAUUCCUGGUGUAGCGGUGGAAUGCGCAGAUAUCAGGAGGAACACCAACGGCGAAGGCAGCUCGCUGGGACGGUACUGACGCUGAGGCGCGAAAGCGUGGGGAGCAAACAGGAUUAGAUACCCCGGUAGU